rnacentral:rRNA from 1 species
GAUGAACGCUAGCGGCAGGCUUAACACAUGCAAGUCGAGGGGUAUUGGUUUUCGGACCAAGAGACCGGCGCACGGGUGCGUAACGCGUAUGCAAUCUACCUUUUGCAGAGGGAUAGCCCCAGAGAAAUUUGGAUUAAUACCUCAUAGUAUAGUACUUUGGCAUCAAGGAACUAUUAAAGUCACAACGGCAAAAGAUGAGCAUGCGUCCCAUUAGCUAGUUGGUAAGGUAACGGCUUACCAAGGCUACGAUGGGUAGGGGUCCUGAGAGGGAGAUCCCCCACACUGGUACUGAGACACGGACCAGACUCCUACGGGAGGCAGCAGUGAGGAAUAUUGGACAAUGGGCGGCAAGCCUGAUCCAGCCAUGCCGCCGUGCAGGAUGACGGUCCUAUGGAUUGUAAACUAGCUUUUAUACAGGAAGAAACACUCCGACGUGUCGGAGCUUGACGG